AUCUAUCUAGUAUAGUUCGUAUAAUUGACUUCCAAUCAAAAGGCCUGAAAAAUUUCAGGAUAGAUA
rnacentral:tRNA from 1 species